UACGUAGGUGGCAAGCGUUGUCCGGAUUUACUGGGCGUAAAGAGCGCGCAGGCGGUCGUUCAAGUCGCGUGUGAAAGCCCCCGGCUCAACUGGGGAGAGUCACGCGAUACUGAUCGACUCGAAGGCAGGAGAGGGUAGUGGAAUUCCCGGUGUAGUGGUGAAAUGCGUAGAUAUCGGGAGGAACACCAGUGGCGAAGGCGACUACCUGGCCUGUUCUUGACGCUGAGGCGCGAAAGCUAGGGGAGCAAACGGG
rnacentral:rRNA from 1 species